AGCUCUCGCGAGAACUGAGCCCGCCGCGGAUUGGCGCGAGGCUAAGGCGUUUAACAGCCGGUAUCUCUGGCCUAAUGCGCUUGCGCGACUGUGCAGUGGCGGCUGCACGGGCGGCCUGGCUGGGCACUGGGGGCAUGCUCCUCAGGAUGACCUAGAGCACACCUUAGUGGAUGCGGGGUGUGCACCCAUAUCAGUAAAAACUCCUUUUUGGCCACCAGGAUCCCUUUCCUGGUUUACUAACCCAGGCUUCCUUCUGGAGUCUCUCGCCCCAUCAGUUCAGGAUGCCUUUUGAAACUCAGGCAUUGUCUCAGGAUGAGCUCCGAAAGAGAUUGUACCAGACGUUUAAGGAUCGGGGUAUUUUGGACACUCUCAAGACUCAACUUCGAAACCAGCUUAUACAUGAGUUGAUGCAUCCUGUUUUGAGUGGAGAAGUGCAGCCACAGUCCAUUGCUGUUGAAGGAAGCUCACUAUUAGUUGGGGCUUCUAAUAGCCUUGUGGCCGAUCACCUGCGCAGGUGUGGCUAUGAAUAUUCACUCUCUGUUUUCUUUCCUGAGAGUGGCUUAGAAAAAGAAAAGGUUUUUACUAUGCAAGAUCUACUCCAGCUGAUUAAAAUCAACCCCAAAUCCAGUGUCUACAAAUCAUUGACUUCAAAGAUUCAAAAAGAGAACCAGAAAGGUUUUCUCAUGCAGAUUUUGAUGGAAUUGACAGAAUAUCAUCUAUCCAGGGAAAGUUGCAAUAUGGAGACUCAGACAAGUUCAGCAUUAUUACCUACUGGUGUAUCUCUUGCUGAAAAACUUCAACUCAUUGAUGAGCAAUUUGCAGAUAUUUAUCCCCAGCGCCUUAAACUGGAAUCCUUAGAAACGAAGCUCAACGAAUAUAAGAAAGAAAUAGAACAACAGCUACAAUCAGAAAUGUCUCAAAAGUUGAAGCAUUUUAAAGAUAUCGAAAUAGCAAGAAUGAGAAUGGAAGAAAAAAGAAGACUCCAAAAAGAAAUGACUGAAUUGCGGCAAGAAUUUGAAAAAACACACCAAGCAAAAUCUGAAGCUCUAAUUUCUCGGGAAAAGAAUGCUAUUGAACGACUUCAAAAGCACCAGGAGAUUGAGGCAAAAGAAAUUUAUGUCCAGAGACAGGGUUUGCUGAAAGACAUUGAAAUGGUAAGAAGUAGAGAAGCUGAACUGAAGCAAAGAAUUGAAGCUUUUGAAUUAACCCAGAAGCUACAAGAAGACAAAUAUAAAAACCUGGAAGAAUCCCUGAGAAGAAGGGAGCUAAAUAUAAAGAACAUGGAGGAUGCAUAUGAACAAAGACUCAAGAAUGAACUCCUGAAAUAUCAGCUUGAAUUAAAGGAAGAAUACAUUACCAGAUCUAAUAGAGUAAUUGAAGAAGAGCAAAAGAACAAAGAGAAAGCUAUGCGUUUGCAGGAAGAGGCCAAUGCUAUUAAUUCGAGAAGGGAAGAACUCAGGGAAGCUAUAAAUCGUGCCAAAGAUCUUGAGCUUGAAUUGGAUUCUCUCAAAGGACAGAUUUUAUUAGUAACAAAACAAAACCAGUUGCUGACUGAAAAACUUAAAGAUACUACUGAUUAUCUGCUUUUAAAAGAAGAGAGACUGGAGCUUCAGGCACAAAAUAAAUUACUUAAACAACAAAUGGAAGAGAUUAGAAAUGAAAACAUGCAACUUCAAAGAAGAUCUACCCAGCCAUCAGCUGAGUUCAUAGCUUUACAGAAAGAAUCACAGAAAGCAGAAAAUACAAGAAAGCUUGAACAGAAGGAGUUUGAGGCUGAAAAACAAGCCCUGGAAAAACGGCUUCAAAACGAGGUUGAGCAUUGUUCGCUCCUGAAGAACCAGAUAUUAGAUUAUGAAGCUUCUACAAGGAGGUUAAAUAUGCAGAUUGGAGACUUGAAAUCACAACUUAGGCAAACCCAAACAGCUUUAGAGAAUGAAGUAUACCGGAACCCAAAGCCAUCACUGGUUGAUCGUUCAGUCAUUGAUUUCACAAGUGACAAGAUUGUACCUCAUGACAUUUAUAUAGAUAAUUUCUUGAAGAAUCAGUUCUUUUCUGAUGCUGUUGUUCAGUCAGAAGAUCUUCCAAGGAGCAGGUAUUGCCAGCAUGCCAGAAUUGAAAAUACUUCUACAGAUGCUGACCUUGAAUUUGUAGCUAGUACCAAAGCGAGGGUGAAAGAACUAGAGAAAGAGGCAGAGUACUUAGAAGAAGCCUAUAGGAAUUACCAGCAACGUGUUAUUCAGGCUACAGUGAAAAGCCGCUCACCAGCAAGGAGUCAAUCUCCUUCACUUUUACCAGCGAUUCUAAGUAGUAGUAUUCACAAAAAAGGUAUGUUUGCAGAGGACAAAUUUGUUUCUGAGCAGCUUCCACUCAGCAGUCUUAAAGACGAGAAAGGUGAUGGGAUGACUGACAACCAAACUCCGCAGCAAAGGAGACCCCCUUCCCCCAGACGUCUUUCCUCUACCCCACGUCCAAAAGCAAGGAGAAGCCUUAACCAAAUGUAUUUAGGAGGUAAUGGGUCAUUUGUUGUGUCUCCCUGUCACCUUGGUGACAAAAUUCCAUCACCAAUUCCAAGGACAACCCAACUUUCAUCUGCUGUAUCUGCUCCCAAUAUCUCAGUUGCUUGCUUACCAAGCAAUCGUCAACAGAAGUCAAGUAAUUCUGAGCAGCACACUGAUCAAGAUGUAAGUGAAUUUUCAAAUGCAGAGAAAUCAGGCAUUGAAGAUGUUCAAAAUGAAUCUUCCUUAGAGUGGAAUAAUGGAGCCAUUGUCCAAACCUCUUUUAGAUGGUGGGAACAUUCCAAAGCAACUUGAAAUGGAUGUGUUAUAUCCAGCAGGAGAUAUGGUUCCCACUAACAAUGUCAUAGACACUGUGCCAACAAUAACUACUUUGCAUCAGGACCCAAUAAUCCUAGAUCUAGAAGAACAGAAGACAGAAGAAGAAAAAUGGGAAGAGAAACAGAGAGAGCGAGAGGAAAAGUGGCAGAGAGAAAGAUUGGAAACUUUUGAAAGGGAACGAAGAGAACUACGAAAACUGGAUCAAGAAAUGAGAUUGCUUGAAGAAUCAUUGAAAAGUGAAGUAGAAAAAGAUAUUAAAGAGUUAGAAAUCAUCAACAAAGAAAUUGUCAACCCUCUAGAAAAAUAUAUGAAAAUUAUCCAGCAGAAUAAAGAGCAGGAAUCAGUAAAUAAGAGCUCAAAAAAGGAGGUUGUGGAAGAAGCAUCAAUAGAAGAAACCCUGCUGUCUAAUGAUAAAGCUGACAGUUUGUCAGCUUCUGAAGAGCCAGAUGACUUCUGGUGAGAGGUUCGCUCCCCAGGCCCAUACUCCUAUCACUGUGAUGUAUCAAGUUUAGGCUCAGGUUUUCACUGUUGUAAGUUGGGAUAUUUAAUAAAGAUUUUACAUGGAAAAUC